rnacentral:rRNA from 1 species
UUGGAGGGCAAGUCUGGUGCCCGCAGCCGCGGUAAUUCCAGCUCCAAUAGCGUAUAUUAAAGUUGUUGCAGUUAAAAAGCUCGUAGUUGAAUUUCGGGAUCAAUACGUCGGUCGUGCUUUUUUGGUACGCACUGGCGUCAUUGGUUUCUCCUUUCUGACGAACCAUGAUGUCAUUAAUUUGGUGUUAUGGGGAGUUAGGACUGUUACUUUGAAAAAAUUAGAGUGUUUAAAGCAGGCAUUAGCUUGAAUACAUUAGCAUGGAAUAAUGAAAUAGGACGUUCGAUCCUAUUUUGUUGGUUUCUAGGAUCAACGUAAUGAUUAAUAGGGAUAGUUGGGGGCAUUAGUAUUCAAUUGUCAGAGGUGAAAUUCUUGGAUUUAUUGAAGACUAACUACUGCGAAAGCAUUUGCCAAGGAUGUUUUCAUUAAUCAAGAACGAAAGUUAGGGGAUCGAAGACGAUCAGAUACCGUCGUAGUCUUAACCAUAAACUAUGCCGACUAGGGAUCGGAUGAUGUUAAUUUUUUAAUGACUCAUUCGGCGCCUUACGGGAAAC